rnacentral:snRNA from 1 species
AUACUUACCUGGCAGGGGAGAUACCAUGAUCACGAAGGUGGUUUUCCCAGGGCGAGGCUUAUCCAUUGCACUCGGGAUGUGCUGACCCCUGCGAUUUCCUCAAAUGUGGGAAACUCGACUGCAUAAUUUGUGGUAGUGGGGGACUGCGUUCGCGCUCUCCCCUG